rnacentral:rRNA from 1 species
GAUGAACGCUGGCGGCGUGCCUAACACAUGCAAGUCGAGCGAACCCUUCGGGGUGAGCGGCGGACGGGUGAGUAACGCGUGGGUAACCUGCCCUAUACACACGGAUAACGUACCGAAAGGUACGCUAAUACGGGAUAAUAUUGUUGGAUGGCAUCUUCUAACUAUCAAAGCUCCGGCGGUAUAGGAUGGACCCGCGUCUGAUUAGCUAGUUGGUGAGGUAAUGGCUCACCAAGGCGACGAUCAGUAGCCGACCUGAGAGGGUGAUCGGCCACACUGGAACUGAGACACGGUCCAGACUCCUACGGGAGGCAGCAGUGGGGAAUAUUGCACAAUGGGCGAAAGCCUGAUGCAGCAACGCCGCGUGAGCGAUGAAGGUCUUCGGAUCGUAAAGCUCUGUCCUCAAGGAAGAUAAUGACGGUACUUGAGGAGGAAGCCCCGGCUAACUACGUGCCAGCCGCCGCUGUAA